rnacentral:tRNA from 1 species
GUUUUAAUAAUUUAAAUAUAAAAUAUUGGUCUUGUAAAUCAAAUAUAAGUUAAUCUUUUAAAACU